rnacentral:rRNA from 1 species
UACGUAGGGGGCGAGCGUUGUCCGGAAUUACUGGGCGUAAAGAGCUCGUAGGUGGUUUGUCGCGUUGUCCGUGAAAACUCACAGCUCAACUGUGGGCGUGCGGGCGAUACGGGCAGACUGGAGUACUGCAGGGGAGACUGGAAUUCCUGGUGUAGCGGUGGAAUGCGCAGAUAUCAGGAGGAACACCGGUGGCGAAGGCGGGUCUCUGGGCAGUAACUGACGCUGAGGAGCGAAAGCGUGGGGAGCGAACAGG